ACUUAUCUUAUAAAAAUCAAUCAAUCAUAAUCACUAGUUAACUACACAUGGUUGAUGAUAUUACUAGUUUAUCUAGCGUGUCCUGCGUUGCAUUUAAUCGAUGCGGUGCGUAUUCGCGAAAAAGGACUGUCUUUGCUCCAAUGUGAACCUAACCAUAAACAUCAAUGCCUUUCUUAAAAUCAAUACACAAGUAUAUAUUUUUAAACCUGCAUAUUUAGUUAAUAUUGCCUGCUAACCUGGCUCGUUGCGAACUCAGAAGACUAUUUCUUCCUAACAAAGAUAGCCAACUUCGCCAAACGGGGGAUGAUUUAACAAAAGUGCAUUUGCGAAAAAAGCACAAUCGUUGCACGACUGUAACUAACCAUAAAAUCAAUACACAGAAGUAUAUAUUUUUAAGCCUGCAUAUUUUGCUGAAUGAAAUCCAGGUUAACGGGCAAUAUUAACCAGGUGAAAUUGUGUCACUUCUCUUGCGUUCAUUGCACGCGGAGUCAGGGUAUAUGCAACAGUUUGGGCCGCCUAAUUUGCCAUAAUUGUACGUAAUUAUGACAUAACAUUGAAGUUUGGGCAAUGUAAAAGGAAUGGACUUUAGACUUAUGGAUGCCACCCGUUAGAUAAAAUACAGAACAGUUCCAUAUUUCACUGAAAGAAUAAAGGUCUUGUUUUCGAGAUGAGUUUCCGGAUUCGACCAUAUUAAAGAGGUAGGGGUGAGGAGAGGGACGGAAGCUAUACUGUUACACUGGCAAUGCUAAAGUUGCCUAUAAGAACAUCCAAUAGUCAAAGGUAUAUGAAAUACAAAUCGUAUGGAGAGAAAUUGUCCUAUAAUUCCUAUAUUAACUACAACCUAAAACUUCUUACCUGGGAAUAUUGAAGACACCUGUUCAAAGGAAUCAUCAGCUUUCAUAUGUUCUCAUGUUCCGAGCUUGGAACUUAAACGUUAGCUUUUUUACAUGGCACAUAUUGAAUUUUAACUUUGUUUUUGCAUUAUUUAAACCAAAUUGAACAUGUUUCAUUUUAUUUGAGGCUAAAUUGAUUUUAUUGUUGUAUUAUAUUAUGUUAAAAUAAGUGUUCAUUCAGUAUUGUUGUAAUUGUCAUUAUUACAAAAAAAAUGUAAAAUCAAAUCAGCCGAUUAAUCGGUAUCGGCUUUUUUUGGUCCUCCAAUAAUCGCUAUCGGUAUCGGCGUUGAAAAAUCAUAAUCGGUCGACCUCUAAUAUAUAUAUAUAAUUGUUUUUACCUUGGACCGGUCCUUAGUACAGACAUUCUAUCAUUCAUUAUAUCCAUUGAGUCCAAACUCAUUUGGUGGCAGAGUUCUCCAGUUGAGGGGAGGGAGAGAGCAAGCCUAUCCCAAUGUCAUUGACCCCCAUCAAGGGUGUCUGGCUGGGGGUCUGGAGGUCUGUGAUUCUAUACAGAGUGCAUGGGGGUGCCACAGGUCAAUGGCUUUAGUCAAUAUGGCAUCUGUGUUCUCUUGUGGCACCUGCUAGAGGAAGGAGAAAACAAAACAAAUCUAUGUGCUUGGUAGAGAAAGGAGGAUAUUUUUUCCAAACAAUUUGAGGGAGUGUGCACGUCCGGCUGUUCUGUGUUGAGCGGCUAACAAAGAAACAGGUAGUCUUAUAUGCUUCAUUUACAGUUAUUUAUGGAACUGUAGUUGUGAUACAAAUGUUCAAAUCAAAUCAAAUUGUAUUAGUCACAUGCACUGAGUACAACAGGUGUAGGUAGACCUUACAGUGAAAUGUUUACUUACGAGCAGCUAACCAACAGUGCAGUUUCAAAAAAUCCGGAUAGGAAUAAGAGAUAAAAGUAACAAGUAAUUAAAGAGCAGCAUUUGACUAGAUGUUCAGGAGUCUUAUGGCUUGGGGGGAGAAGCUGUUUAGAAGCCUCUUGGACCUAGAUUUGGCUAUGUUUGAAUUUUUUAUACAUUCUAAGACCGCAUGACUCGACUAACGAUGAUUUGAAAAAAGUUGCAUGAAAGGCAUGAGCUCUGAUUUUUUUUUUGAGCAGGCUGUACACACUUCAUCAGUCUCUCAUUCCCAAUUUGACAAGCACUUGAUAACACCUCAAAUUUUCCAUCUGCAUCCCCUUUGUGUGUCCGUAAUGCCCCCUAAAAAUAUCCAUGCCUUUUGCGGCCAGUGGCUGUUGUGCCCUUAGGCUGAAUAUAAUAAUUAUAAUUCCCUUCUCCCGCCUGUAUGCUCGCACCUCUCACUCACAUGGCUCUCAUUAUCAAAUCUUUCUCACAGGCUACAAGUGAAGACAGACACAUCGGGGACGCAACUGCGUGUGUCCUUAUCCAAUUCCGAGGCGCAUAUUGAAGAUAUUCGAAGAACUGUCCACAUUUACUUUUUAACAGCCAGCAAGAUGAGCAGGCCUAACGAAGAGCAAAAGCACUAGCCUAUGUCAAUGUACUAUGUAUGCCCCAUUGUACAAAAGUUGACCCAUUCUAUUCUGUGCAAGAAAUAAAUAUUCCAAACAUAGUCUGGGACAGUUGUGGUAUGCGAUAGAUCCCAAAUUAAUACAACCACUAGCAUUAAAAAAAUCCUGUUUUAAGCAAUGAGCCUGACGCAACAGAUGAGAACGUUUUAGCUUAAAAAUGUUGAUAAACUAUGAGGCUAUUUCUUCACAUUAUAAGCGCAGCAAUGCGCACACAGCAGUAGGCUAUAAGCACUAAUGUUCCAUUAUCAGGAAAACACCAUUCUCAAAAGUGAACACAAAUGUGAUUGUGCUUGUAAUGCUUUUAUUAUAAAGAUGCUUUUUUUACUGUGAAAAUGAUCUUCCCCAAACUUGAAACUCACGCGGUGCGUAUGUAUGCCAGUUAGGCUCAACAUCCCUUGUAAUGCGGAUUAAUGUGCUUCAAUUUAAGAAGUUAUUUGGCCACUUUAGGUGUGAUACAAACCUUAGGCAUAUGGGCUAGGCUACAUGAGGUGUGCAACUAUGAUUUUAAAAAGUUGCCAAAAAAAGCAUGCGCCGUUUCUUGUCUUAAGCUGGGCAUCAUUCACAAGUGAUAAAACAGUAUACCAUUCACAAGUGAUAGGCUAAUAUUGUCACCCAUCACACUAUUCUUGAUUUAAUCUUGUCUUUACAUACACUAAAUAACAUAUGUGUGAAAUUUGUUUUGAUUUACAAUGGGCCAUUAUCAUGCAGCUGUCUCGAAACGGGGGCAGCGGGAGAAAAUACAUGUCAUCUAUGCACUUAAAUAGCGAACGAGGAUGCAUUUCCCGUGAUUCAUUUUCAUGCCAGCCAGGUGAGAAUCCCGACUGCAGUGUGCAGUCCUGGACCGGGCUCAAUGUGGGUGGAGUCAAACGUCUGGCCGGGCUCGAUGUGGCCGGAGUCUAACGCGUUUAACCCGAACCCUUCCCAUCUCCUUCAACGUCACCCAAGUUGAGAAACAUUGCUCGCCUCUUGUCUCCUGGACCUUGGAGGACUUUUGGUGUGGAUGAUGUUAUUCCACUGAACUGUACUGUUUGAUUGUCAUUCCUUAUUGAAACUUGUACCUUGUUCACACGACACGGCCUACCAAAGCAAGGUUUCUCAAACAACUGUGGGGUGUUUGUUGUGAUGUACGUUCUGUACAUUGCAAUGGAAGCACAGUGUGAUUUCACUGAGGAAAACAUACAUGCAGCAAAUUAGGCGAUGGUGGUGCCUAGUUCUCCUGCAGAACUUUCCCAUCCCGUCUGAAGAGGUUAAAAAUAUAAAAAAAUGAGUGAAAACAAAACACACUACAGGAUGAUGUAGAAGACUUCCCCCCAAGAAGUCACAGCAUGUCACAUCAGCAUCCAGCUGUGUAGGAUCAGACGAUCCUGAAAACAAAAUGAAUGUGAACUGGGAGCUGUGAACUGAGAAGCAGAUGUUCUUCUAAGGGACACCCUAGAGGCAGCAAGGUGGUGUGAACUGCAAACAUUUAAAGGCAGUUUCCCUCCCUAAUGUAAUUAGGAAUACCGUAUUACAACUGUUAAAGAACUACGGUUGUAUGAUGGCCUGGAUGAAGAGGAAAAUAUUCUCCUCAAGGAACCAUUCAUGUUCCAUUUACAGAGAGAUAAGAUGUUCUAUGUGGAGGAAGUUGACAACAAGAAAAGUACUGUCUUUGCCUCUUUUGGAAGCCAUUUUUGAGGAGUGGUCAAACCUUGUUUUUGUCUGCUGUGUUAAUUGUUUCAAUUGUUAAUUGUGUUAUGUUGUUCAGUGAAGAUGACGUAGCAUGAAGUGAAAAGUGUUUACAACUCACCUGCUAGUACUUUAUAGAAUAUUUCUUACGAUCUUCAAAAAUGAAAUAUGUUUGUAUUCAA